AGGACGAACGCUGGCGGCGUGCUUAACACAUGCAAGUCGAGCGAGGCCCGUCCUUCGGGACGGUGCCCUAGCGGCGAACGGGUGAGUAACACGUGGGCAACCUGCCCCUAGCACUGGGAUAACUCCGGGAAACCGGGGCUAAUACCGGAUAUGACCUUUGAGGGCAUCCUCGAAGGUGUAAAGGAUUCUGGCUAGGGAUGGGCCCGCGGCCUAUCAGCUUGUUGGUGGGGUAACGGCCUACCAAGGCGACGACGGGUAGCCGGCCUGAGAGGGCGACCGGCCACACUGGGACUGAGACACGGCCCAGACUCCUACGGGAGGCAGCAGUGGGGAAUAUUGCACAAUGGGCGAAAGCCUGAUGCAGCGACGCCGCGUGAGGGAUGACGGCCUUCGGGUUGUAAACCGUCUUUCAGCAGGGACGAAGCGAAAGUGACGGUACCUGCAGAAGAGCACCGGCACUACGUGCCAGCAGCCGC
rnacentral:rRNA from 1 species